rnacentral:lncRNA from 1 species
GCAAUUUAAAGGAAAAAAUCUAGUGGAAAGAGAGAUUUUGAGAUGAGAGUGAAGAGGGAGGUAAUCUUGUUCGGUGGAAUGGGGAAGACGAACAGCAAAGGGGUCGGCUCUUUGCAAUCAGAGAAAUCCCAAUAAAACAGAGCCCGAUGGGUUUUAAUAAAAAAAUGCAAGUUUACCUUAGGGUCGACCCUGGGGUUUGACUCAUGGCAAGCAAAAAUUAAAAAAAUGAUGGAGAAUUUUGAAAAAGCUUGAAAUUUGAAGAAAAGGUGUCUAUUUGAGAGAUUGAUCAUUUGAAGGAUAGUUUUGAGCUUUUAAGAAAGG